rnacentral:pre_miRNA from 1 species
AAUAAGUGCAGUUUUGCACUAUUUACGUUCAACGUUUGACUGUUCGUCUUAUUUGAAAUUUUUUUAUGAUUAGUAUUUUUAUUGCUAUUAGAUGAUAAAACAUGAAUAGUACUUUAUGUGUGACAUUUUCAAAUUUUUCACAAUUUUUUAAAUAAGACGGACGGUCAAACGUUGGGCACAGAUAUUCACGGCUGCACUUAUU